rnacentral:rRNA from 1 species
CUUGAAGGAGUGCUUGCACUCCUGAUGGUUAGCGGCGGACGGGUGAGUAACACGUAGGUAACCUGCCCAUAAGACUGGGAUAACCCACGGAAACGUGAGCUAAUACCAGAUAGGCAUUUUCCUCGCAUGAGGGAGAUGAGAAAGGCGGAGCAAUCUGCCACUUAUGGAUGGACCUGCGGCGCAUUAGCUAGUUGGUAAGGUAACGGCUUACCAAGGCGACGAUGCGUAGCCGACCUGAGAGGGUGAUCGGCCACACUGGGACUGAGACACGGCCCAGACUCCUACGGGAGGCAGCAGUAGGGAAUCUUCCGCAAUGGACGAAAGUCUGACGGAGCAACGCCGCGUGAGUGAUGAAGGUUUUCGGAUCGUAAAGCUCUGUUGCCAGGGAAGAACGCCUAGGAGAGUAACUGCUCCUAGGGUGACGGUACCUGAGAAGAAAGCCCCGGCUAACUACGUGCCAGCA